rnacentral:tRNA from 1 species
GGCGGGGUAGCUCAGUUGGUUAGAGCAGUCGGCUCAUACCCGGCAUGUCGUCGGUUCGAAUCCGACCCCCGCUACCA